AUUGAACGCUGGCGGCAUGCCUUACACAUGCAAGUCGAACGGCAGCGCGGGAGCAAUCCUGGCGGCGAGUGGCGAACGGGUGAGUAAUACAUCGGAACGUGCCCAAUCGUGGGGGAUAACGCAGCGAAAGCUGUGCUAAUACCGCAUACGAUCUACGGAUGAAAGCUGGGGAUCGCAAGACCUUGCGCGAAGGGAGCGGCCGAUGGCAGAUUAGGUAGUUGGUGAGGUAAAGGCUCACCAAGCCUUCGAUCUGUAGCUGGUCUGAGAGGACGACCAGCCACACGGGGACUGAGACACGGCCCAGACUCCUACGGGAGGUAGCAGUGGGGAAUUUUGGACAAUGGGCGAAAGCCUGAUCCAGCCAUGCCGCGUGCAGGAUGAAGGCCUUCGGGUGGUAAACUGCUUUUGUACGGAACGAAACGGUCUUUUCUAAUAAAGAAGGCUAAUGACGGUACCGUAAGAAUAAGCACCGGCUAACUACGUG
rnacentral:rRNA from 1 species